UACGUAGGGUGCGAGCGUUAAUCGGAAUUACUGGGCGUAAAGCGUGCGCAGGCGGCGCGUUAAGACAGGUGUGAAAGCCCCGAGCUUAACUUGGGAAUUGCGCUUGUGACUGGCGUGCUGGAGUGUGGCAGAGGGGGGAUGGAAUUCCGACGUGUAGCAGUGAAAUGCGUAGAGAUCGGGAAGGAACAUCAGUUGCGAAGGCGGCCACCUGGACCAGCACUGACACUGAGGCACGAAAGCGUGGGGAGCAAACAGGAAUUAGAAACCCGGUGUACGUCCGAGUACCAAAC
rnacentral:rRNA from 1 species